GCGGACGUGGUGCAUGGCGCACCGCUGCGUUUCAUAGGAUAUCGAUCAAAUCCAGCAGCUAACGGGGUUCGACUCCCCGCGUCCGCA